GUUUGAAGAAGAACUAAUCAGAGUUGGUUUAGGAAAACUAAGAAGGUGUCGGUGGGGUAGUGACUUAUGUAACAAAUUCAACUAAUCAGAGUUGGUUUAGGAAAACUAAGAAGGUUACCAUGGUUGAAAUCUCAGAAGAUGAUUCUGCUUCUAAUCUUCCAAUUAUACAUGGAGUGGCAUCACAAAUGGGACCUCCCCCUCCACGUCCACCGCGUUCUGGACAAGUGCAUGGACC